rnacentral:sRNA from 1 species
UUUUAGCCCCGAUAGAAGCAAAAAUCCUUGUGGACCGGGGUUCGGUUCACAAGAUUACUUCACUAUACUUUCAUUUUCAUAGGAGUUCAGUGAACUUCGUUUGUAGCGGAUAGCGGGACGAUGC